rnacentral:rRNA from 1 species
AUUGAACGCUGGCGGCAGGCCUAACACAUGCAAGUCGAGCGAGCGGCGGACGGGUGAGAAAUAUAUGGGAAACAGCCUGAUGGAGGGGGAUAACGACUGGAAAAGGGAGCUAAUACCCCAUACCAUCAGAUGUGCCAAGAUGGGAUGAGGUAGUAGGUGGGGUAACGGCUCACCUAGGCGACAAUCCCUAGCUGGUCUGAGAGGAAGAGAAGCCACACGGGAACUGAGACACGGUCCAGACUCCUACGGGAGGCAGCAGUGGGGAAGAUUGGACAAUGGGCGGAAGCCUGAUUCAGCCAUGCCGCGUGUGUGAAGAAGGUCUUCGGGUUGUAAAGCACUUUAAGUUGGGAGGCGUUACCAGCAGAAUAAGCACCGGCUAACUUCGUGCCAGCAGCCGCGGUAAGUC